AUCGCUUCUCGGCUUCUGUUCUUAUCAGUUUAAUAUCUGAUACGUCCCCUGUCCGCGGACCAUAUAUUAAACUGAUUUUUGGAACAGGGAGAUGGAAUAGGGGCUUGCUCCGUCCACUCCACGCAUCGACCUGGUAUUGCAGUAUUUCCAGGAACGGUGCACCUUCU
ensembl:snRNA U2 U2 spliceosomal RNA